AGUGAACGCUGGCGGUAGGCCUAAUACAUGCAAGUCGAACGGACACACAGUAAGCGCUUGCUCCUAAGGGUGGCGGGUGGCGGACGGGUGAGGCAUACAUCGGAAUCUAAUUUUUCUGGGAUGAUAACGGAGGGCAACUGACACUAAUAGAGCAUAUGUCGUACGGGUGAGAGCAGUGGAGCUUGGCGGCUUUCGCGACUGUAUGAGCCGGUGUCGGAUUAGCUAGUUGGCGGGGUAAGGGCCUACCAAGGCAACGAUACGUAGCUGGUCUGAGAGGAUGAUCAGCCACACUGGAACUGAGACACGGUCCAGACUCCUACGGGAGGCAGCAGUAGGGAAUAUUGGACAAUGGGCGCAAGCCUGAUCCAGCCACGCCGCGUGAGUGAAGAAGGCCUUCGGGUUGUAAAGCUCUGUUGUUGGGAAAGAAAAGCAGCAUGAGAAACCACGCCUGUUCUGACGGUACCCAAAGAGUAAGCCCCGGCUAACUUCGUG
rnacentral:rRNA from 1 species